rnacentral:rRNA from 1 species
GACGAACGCUGGCGGCGUGCUUAACACAUGCAAGUCGAGCGGUAAGGCCCUUUCGGGGGUACACGAGCGGCGAACGGGUGAGUAACACGUGGGUGACCUGCCCUCAGCUCUGGGAUAAGCCUGGGAAACCGGGUCUAAUACCGGAUAUGACUCCAUGACGCAUGUUGUGGGGUGGAAAGCCUUGUGCGGCUGAGGAUGGGCCCGCGGCCUAUCAGCUUGUUGGUGGGGUGAUGGCCUACCAAGGCGACGACGGUAGCCGGCCUGAGAGGCGACCGGCCACACUGGGACUGAGACACGGCCCAGACUCUACGGAGGCAGCAGUGGGAAUUGUUCGCAAUGGGCGCAAGCCUGACGACGCAACGCCGCGUGGAGGAUGAAGACC